GAUGAACGCUAGCGGCAGGCCUAAUACAUGCAAGUCGAGGGAGAAUGUUGGAUUCGUCUGACAUGAAACCGGCGCACGGGUGCGUAACACGUAUGCAACCUACCUUUAACUGGGGUAUAGCUCAGAGAAAUCUGAAUUAAUCCCCCAUAAGACUACGACAUGGCAUCAUGAUGUAGUUAAAGCUCCGGCGGUUAAGGAUGGGCAUGCGGUACAUUAGGUAGUUGGGGAGGUAAUGGCUCACCAAGGCUAAGAUGUAUAGGGGGUCUGAGAGGGUGAUCCCCCACACUGGUACUGAGACACGGACCAGACUCCUACGGGAGGCAGCAGUAGGGAAUAUUGGUCAAUGGACGCAAGUCUGAACCAGCCAUGCCGCGUGAAGGAUGAAGGCCCUAUGGGUCGUAAACUUCUUUUAUUAGGGAAGAAAAAACGGGAUGCGUCCUGUACUGACGGUACUUAAUGAAUAAGGAUCGGCUAACUUCGUGCCAGCCGCCGCCGUAA
rnacentral:rRNA from 1 species